UACGGAGGAUGCAAGCGUUAUCCGGAUUCAUUGGGUUUAAAGGGUGCGUAGGCGGCUUUUUAAGUCAGUGGUGAAAUCUUGCCGCUUAACGGUAAAAUUGCCAUUGAUACUGAAGAGCUUGAGUACAUUUGAGGUAAGCGGAAUGUGUAGUGUAGCGGUGAAAUGCUUAGAUAUUACACAGAACACCAAUUGCGAAGGCAGCUUACUAAACUGUUACUGACGCUGAUGCACGAAAGCGUGGGGAGCGAACAGG
rnacentral:rRNA from 1 species